GACGAACGCUGGCGGCGUGCUUAACACAUGCAAGUCGAACGGAAAGGCCCUGCUUUUGUGGGGUGCUCGAGUGGCGAACGGGUGAGUAACACGUGAGUAACCUGCCCUUGACUUUGGGAUAACUUCAGGAAACUGGGGCUAAUACCGGAUAGGAGCUCCUGCUGCAUGGUGGGGGUUGGAAAGUUUCGGCGGUUGGGGAUGGACUGGCGGCUUAUCAGCUUGUUGCUGGGGUAGUGGCUUACCAAGGCUUUGACGGGUAGCCGGCCUGAGAGGGUGACCGGCCACAUUGGGACUGAGAUACGGCCCAGACUCCUACGGGAGGCAGCAGUGGGGAAUAGUGCACAAUGGGCGGAAGCCUGAUGCAGCAACGCCGCGUGCGGGAUGACGGCCUUCGGGUUGUAAACCGCUUUCGCCUGUGACGAAGCGUGAGUGACGGUAAUGGGUAAAGAAGCACCGGCUAACUACGUG
rnacentral:rRNA from 1 species